ACAAUGCAUUCCUUCAGCACAAACAACUAGUUGAAAUGAGGACUACCCAUGUGUGGCUUGUUGCCCUAGUCUUUCUUGUGCUAGCAUCAGAUGUGGUAGUGGAGGCAACAAGAGAUAGCAUUAAAUUUGUCACAUGUGUGUCAAAACAAUUGACAAAUCCACCAUGUGAUAACAAAACUUGCGAAGACGCAUGCUCCAAACGUACAGGGCAAUACAAAUCUGGCGAGUGUGCUGCCGAGGGGUGCAAGUGCACAUUUUGCGUAGACCAUCCUCCAGCCAUCCACAGUAAUAAAAAAAUGGGUACUAACUAGCUAAGAUUGGAUAGUGUGUUGAGCGAAUAAGAGAAAAAAUCACAAAUGGUGUAGCAGCAAGGUUGUUCACACGUAUAAGCCAUAUGAAGAGGGAUAAGUAGUCUUGCUUCUUGAAUUA